rfam:Canis lupus familiaris chromosome 10, whole genome shotgun sequence.
GCCUGGCUGGCUCAGUCAGUAGAGCAUGUGACUGUUGAUCUCAGAGUCAUGAGUUCAAGCCCCAUGUGGGACA